GACGAACGCUGGCGGCGUGCUUAACACAUGCAAGUCGAACGGAAAGGCCCUGCUUUUGUGGGGUGCUCGAGUGGCGAACGGGUGAGUAACACGUGAGUAACCUGCCCUUGACUUUGGGAUAACUUCAGGAAACUGGGGCUAAUACCGGAUAUGAGCUCCUGCUGCAUGGUGGGGGUUGGAAAGUUUCGGCGGUUGGGGAUGGACUCGCGGCUUAUCAGCUUGUUGGUGGGGUAGUGGCUUACCAAGGCUUUGACGGGUAGCCUGCCUGAGAGGGUGACCGGCCACAUGGGGACUGAGAUACGGCCCAGAAGCCAACGGGAGGCAGCAGUGGGGAAUAUUGCACAAUGGGCGGAAGCCUGAUGCAGCAACGCCGCGUGCGGGAUGACGGCCUUCGGGUUGUAAACCGCUUUCGACUGUGACGAAGCGUGAGUGACGGUAAUGGGUAAAGAAGCAACGGCUAACUACGUG
rnacentral:rRNA from 1 species